rnacentral:lncRNA from 1 species
GAAAUUGGUUCAGGAAGGACGGGUGAUGAAUACAGGAGGUGGAGAGAUCACGGUUGUUGUUUGGUGGAGUCAGACAAAGCAACAGUCUUCCACUAAAGGCAAGCAAUGAGCCCUACAAUGACAGAGGAAGAGGAAGACUGGAAUGAAGGGGAUCAAAGGAAAUGCAGAGAUGUAUGAUGAUGUUGAACUGAAACAACCCUCAAAACAUCCAUCUGCCACCUCCCAACUGAAUCAGUCCUCUAACAAUAUUUCUGUGGCCCCUGCUCUUCCUGCCCGACCAAGUGUGAAAGCGAGUGGAGAGCGCAAGUCAAUGCCCAAAGCAGAUGAUCUUUACGAUGAUACCGGAGUUCAGGACCUCAGUGCUGAUGAGAAUGACGAAGACUAUGAUGAUGUUUUACCUUUGGAGAUGGCUUUGCAACACCAAAAGCAAGAGCAAAAGCAAAAGUCAUGGCUUCCGUUCCGAUUAAGCAAGAAGGAUAGCAAGAAGCCUUUUAAGAAAGUUGAGGAAAGUAAAGAGCGACAAUCUUCAGCAAAGGCCUCCCCCGAAGGUAACGUAUCAACAUUUUCCUCCCCAGAACAUCAGUUGCAAACUCAGUACCACUGGCUUCUCUCUCUACAACAUUCUAAUGUUGCACUCUCAGAUGACAGUAUAAUUUGUCACUUAACACACCACAAUCAAACCACAAGCUCUUUGACCCACGAUGGAGGUCCUUUUAUCGAUUAUGAUUUUGUCUCCAAACAGUGGUUACAAAUGCAUGUUUGUACAAGUAAUAGUUUGUUUGGGUGACGGCUUGCUCGCUCGUUCGUUUUCACUUCUGUUCAUUGUGGUUUGCACUUGUUAUCCAGACUUGAUGAGUGGUGCCAAGGGAGAUCAUACAUGUCCUUUUAUCCCAGCUUGCCAAAUUGAUUGCUUGUUUUCCGAGAUUGGAACUCGGCCAUACUUGCGCUGAAGAAGCCAAGUUCAAUUGCUAAUCAAUCCUCCACUUGUAGAUGGCGAAGACAUAUAUGAUGACGUGGAUCAGGAAAUUGAAGAGAGUCCAGUCAGGUGAGAGAAUUAAUUGUUUUGAACUUCGUUGAUUUGCAACUUUGGUUUGUAAUGAAAUUUUGGAAUGUUUGCAGUGUAGUUUGGCUUUUUCACAUCUGCAUUGUAUCCUCAUUGUUUGCAAAAUGCGUAACAUUGGCUAUGGUUAUUAGAUCAAUCAUGUGGUACUGGAUUAUAUAACAAUGUUUUUGAAUUAAAUGUUUUUUUUUUUCAGUUCAAAAAAAAUGGAAAAGGAGAAAGAGGAAAAGGGGAGGAAAUUCAAGGUGAGGUCCAUUAUAUUAGGAUUUAAUCGUACUUACCUUAAAAGUGCCAAUAUAAUCAUGAAUUUAAUUUGCCAAUAUAAACAUGAAUAAUAAAAAGGGAGAUGUACCAAAGCAAUAUUACGGUAUACAUUUUCAUGUUUUCACGAGCAAAAGUAUUAACUCAUCAAAAGGCAAAUUUUGUUUUGCACGGUGGUCGUCAAGAAGCAUCGCUAACCCUCGGGGGAAUGGGGCG